rnacentral:rRNA from 1 species
AAGACCUUGCGCUUUUGGAGCGGCCGAUGCCUGAUUAGCUUGUUGGUAAGGUAAAAGCUUACCAAGGCUUCGAUCAGUAGCUGGUCUGAGAGGACGGCCAGCCACACUGGGACUGAGACACGGCCCAGACUCCUACGGGAGGCAGCAGUGGGGAAUUUUGGACAAUGGGGGCAACCCUGAUCCAGCCAUGCCGCGUGAGUGAAGAAGGCCUUCGGGUUGUAAAGCUCUUUCAGCCGGAACGAAACGGUUACGGUUAAUACCCGUGACUACUGACGGUACCGGAAGAAGAAGCACCGGCUAACUACGUGCCAGCAGCCGCGGUAAUACGUGGGGUGCGAGCGUUAAUCGGAAUUACUGGGCGUAAAGCGUGCGCAGGUGGUUUUGUAAGUCAGAUGUGAAAGCCCCGGGCUCAACCUGGGAACU